UACAUACUUAUAUGAAUAUAUGGCAGGCAGUGGUGGCCGAGUGGUCAUCACACUGUGCUUCAAGCCGAAUGGAGGUUCUGGGUUCAAUUCCCAGUACUGGCAGAGAGUUUUUUCCCUUGUGGUUUUCCUCUCUGACUUGUUGCACAGGUCUGUGCGGUGUCCAUUGCACUACGGGCACCAUAGUUAGGAACCUGUGACCAUCUAUUUCUCACUUAUGUGAGGUUUGGUUCACUUGUAAUUCAAAUGUAAUGGCUAAAAUUGGGAAUCAAUAAAGACGACCUUUUUUUUAUAUAUUUUAGAUGAUAUAUAAACAUACACAGGUAUACUUUUGGCCGUCAUUACUGCCCAGACAAACCCGAGUUUCUGUACUUACCUAAAUUGUAUUUAAUGCACAUCGAUAAUCUUAAUCCAAAUAUUGCCAAUUAUUGAUAUAUGUAUGUAUGCAUACGUAAGGAAUGUUAUCACUGCACGUACACUGAUUAUACUAUCAAUCGCAAACAUCCACUCCACAAACUGAGGAUGAGAUCCAUGACAGUAAUCAGUAUUUAUACUGUUAAAAAUGUGGUAAAGUCACAUAUAAAUACACUCCGUGCUGUUAUAAAUUUCAGAAUAACUUCCUCCCAGAUUGGUAAUAGUUUCUUUAGUGAUGAUAAAUUUUCAUUGACACAACGAAUACAUACAUACUUUAUUUUAUUAGUAUACAGUAGUGCUCUUUAUUACCGUGCUGGUGAAGUCAUACAUACACAUAUAAAUAUGUGCACUCCGGCAGGGGAUGAUUCACUACCACUUUGCUAAGAGUGUAGAAAAUUACAGGAAUAUGCCACAUAUAUAUAUUUCGUAACUUUUACAUUAUCUUUGCAUAUUUCAAAACUUGAGAUAUAGCAACCUCCAAUGAUAGAGAACGUCUUAUCAUCAAUUCGCCCCCCUCAACUAGGACGACGACGGACCGCCUGAAAAUUUUGCUAUGGCAGUUACCCGCCCUUCUGGUCAUGUUCAUCUCCAUGGGAAUCAUUAUCUGCGCAAUUGCCACAAUAGGAAUGACAGGAGACAUCUUUAUGAAUAUUUUGGCCUGGUUUAUCCUCAUCUUUUGGUCGGUGCGGAUCCCAAUAUCGGUCUGGAUUUGUAAUAAGACUGAAAUUAUCAUGAUCUUUGCAAGAUUUCAUUUGGCCAUCUUUGCCACCGGAUUGCUCAUGUGUGCAAUGUCUCUCGGUUUUUCAAUCAGUUUUGGAGAAAGUCCCGUCAGUCCGAGUGAUUUUACCUCAGCAGAGUUAAACCUUAUCAACGAUAUAUAUUUGUGGUUAAUUUUCGAGGGGAUCAUACUCGUCAAUAUUGCGAUAGAUGUGAUACUAUAUUAUAGAUUGAGGAAUAACACUACAAAUGUGCAAAAUUCUACUCAGAAUACUACAAUUUUAGAAACUUGUGAUCAGGAAUGUUGCAUUAAUUGUGUUGUUCGCGUUGGGUUAUGUGUUGGAUGCAUUUUUUUGCAUUCGUGUUGUAUGUGUAUUAAGUAAGACAAGAAGAUAUAGUUUAAAAGGAUGUAGAUAUUUAGACUUUGUAUAGUUUGCGAAUUUAUUAAAAUACGAAACCUCAUAAUUUUAAUAAGUCAAAUAAAUUAUAUAUGAUUUAAUUGCAUGAUGAUUUUCAACAAAGUGCAUAGGUAUGCAAACAUAUUAGAUCAGUUCGAUAAGUAAUAAAUAUGCUAUAAACUGCUCGUA